rnacentral:rRNA from 1 species
GGACCGACGGGAGCUUGCUCCCUUAGGUCAGCGGCGGACGGGUGAGUAACACGUGGGUAACCUGCCUGUAAGACUGGGACUAACUCCGGGAAACCGGGGCUAAUACCGGAUGCUUGAUUGAACCGCAUGGUUCCAAUCAUAAAAGGUGGCUUUCAGCUACCACUUACUGAUGGACCCGCGGCGCAUUAGCUAGUUGGUGAGGUAACGGCUCACCAAGGCGACGAUGCGUAGCCGACCUGAGAGGGUGAUCGGCCACACUGGGACUGAGACACGGCCCAGACUCCUACGGGAGGCAGCAGUAGGGAAUCUUCCGCAAUGGACGAAAGUCUGACGGAGCAACGCCGCGUGAGUGAUGAAGGUUUUCGGAUCGUAAAACUCUGUUGUUAGGGAAGAACAAGUACCGUUCGAAUAGGGCGGCACCUUGACGGUACCUAACCAGAAAGCCACGGCUAACUACGUGCCAGCAGCCGCGGUAAUACGUAGGUGGCAAGCGUUGUCCGGAAUUAUUGGGCGUAAAGCGCGCGCAAGCGGUUUCUUAAGUCUGAUGUGAAAGCCCCCGGCUCAACCGGGGAGGGUCAUUGGAAACUGGGGAACUUGAGUGCAGAAGAGGAGAGUGGAAUUCCACGUGUAGCGGUGAAAUGCGUAGAGAUGUGGAGGAACACCAGUGGCGAAGGCGA